GACAGAGGGUGCAAACGUUGUUCGGAAUUACUGGGCGUAAAGGCGCGUGUAGGCGGCUAAGUAAGUCGGGCGUGAAAUCCCACGGCUCAACCGUGGAAGUGCACUCGAAACUGCAUAGCUAGAGUCCUGGAGAGGAAGGUGGAAUGCUUGGUGUAGAGGUGAAAUUCGUAGAUAUCAAGCGGAACACCGGUGGCGAAGGCGGCCUUACUGGACAGUGACUGACGCUGAGACGGCGAAAGCGUGGGGAGCAAACAGGG
rnacentral:rRNA from 1 species